UUAAGCGACCAAGCGUACACGGUGGAUGCCCUGGCAGUCAGAGGCGAUGAAGGACGUGCUAAUCUGCGAAAAGCGCCGGUAAGGUGAUAUGAACCGUUAUAACCGGCGAUGUCCGAAUGGGGAAACCAGUGUGACUCGUCACACUAUCAUUAACUGAAUCCAUAGGUUAAUGAGGCGAACCGGGGGAACUGAAACAUCUAAGUACCCCGAGGAAAAGAAAUCAACCGAGAUUCCCCCAGUAGCGGCGAGCGAACGGGGAGGAGCCCAGAGCCUGAAUCAGCAUGUGUGUUAGUGGAAGCGUCUGGAAAGGCGCGCGAUACAGGGUGACAGCCCCGUACACAAAAGCGCAUAUGCUGUGAGCUCGAUGAGUAGGGCGGGACACGUGGUAUCCUGUCUGAAUAUGGGGGACCAUCCUCCAAGGCUAAAUACUCCUGACUGACCGAUAGUGAACCAGUACCGUGAGGGAAAGGCGAAAAGAACCCGGCGAGGGGAGUGAAACAGAACCUGAAACCGUGUACGUACAAGCAGUGGGAGCAUGAGUUUACUCAUGUGACUGCGUACCUUUUGUAUAAUGGGUCAGCGACUUAUAUUCUGUAGCAAGGUUAACCGUAUAGGGGAGCCGGAGGGAAACCGAGUCUUAAUUGGGCGUUAAGUUGCAGGGUAUAGACCCGAAACCCGGUGAUCUAGCCAUGGGCAGGUUGAAGGUUGGGUAACACUAACUGGAGGACCGAACCGACUAAUGUUGAAAAAUUAGCGGAUGACCUGUGGCUGGGGGUGAAAGGCCAAUCAAACCGGGAGAUAGCUGGUUCUCCCCGAAAGCUAUUUAGGUAGCGCCUCGUGAAUUCAUCUCCGGGGGUAGAGCACUGUUUCGGCCAGGGGGCCAUCCCGGCUUACCAACCCGAUGCAAACUGCGAAUACCGGAGAAUGUUAUCACGGGAGACACACGGCGGGUGCUAACGUCCGUCGUGAAGAGGGAAACAACCCAGACCGCCAGCUAAGGUCCCAAAGUCAUGGUUAAGUGGGAAACGAUGUGGGAAGGCCCAGACAGCCAGGAUGUUGGCUUAGAAGCAGCCAUCAUUUAAAGAAAGCGUAAUAGCUCACUGGUCGAGUCGGCCUGCGCGGAAGAUGUAACGGGGCUAAACCAUGCACCGAAGCUGCGGCAGCGACACUAAGUGUUGUUGGGUAGGGGAGCGUUCUGUAAGCCUGUGAAGGUGUGUCGUGAGGCAUGCUGGAGGUAUCAGAAGUGCGAAUGCUGACAUAAGUAACGAUAAUGCGGGUGAAAAACCCGCACGCCGGAAGACCAAGGGUUCCUGUCCAACGUUAAUCGGGGCAGGGUGAGUCGACCCCUAAGGCGAGGCCGAAAGGCGUAGUCGAUGGGAAACAGGUUAAUAUUCCUGUACCUGGUGUUACUGCGAAGGGGGGACGGAGAAGGCUAUGUUGGCCGGGCGACGGUUGUCCCGGUUUAAGCGUGUAGGCUGGUUUUCCAGGCAAAUCCGGAAAAUCAAGGCUGAGGCGUGAUGACGAGGCACUACGGUGCUGAAGCAACAAAUGCCCUGCUUCCAGGAAAAGCCUCUAAGCCUCAGGUAACAUCAGAUCGUACCCGAAACCGACACAGGUGGUCAGGUAGAGAAUACCAAGGCGCUUGAGAGAACCCGGGUGAAGGAACUAGGCAAAAUGGUGCCGUAACUUCGGGAGAAGGCACGCUGACAUGUAGGUGAAGCGGUUUUACCCGUGGAGCUGAAGUCAGUCGAAGAUACCAGCUGGCUGCAACUGUUUAUUAAAAACACAGCACUGUGCAAACACGAAAGUGGACGUAUACGGUGUGACGCCUGCCCGGUGCCGGAAGGUUAAUUGAUGGGGUCAGCGCAAGCGAAGCUCCUGAUCGAAGCCCCGGUAAACGGCGGCCGUAACUAUAACGGUCCUAAGGUAGCGAAAUUCCUUGUCGGGUAAGUUCCGACCUGCACGAAUGGCGUAAUGAUGGCCAGGCUGUCUCCACCCGGGACUCAGUGAAAUUGAACUCGCUGUGAAGAUGCAGUGUACCCGCGGCAAGACGGAAAGACCCCGUGAACCUUUACUAUAGCUUGACACUGAACACUGGUCCUUGAUGUGCAGGAUAGGUGGGAGGCUUUGAAGUGUGGACGCCAGUCUGCAUGGAGCCGUCCUUGAAAUACCACCCUUUAAUGGCUGGUGUUCUAACGUAGACCCGUGAACCGGGUUGCGGACAGUGUCUGGUGGGUAGUUUGACUGGGGCGGUCUCCUCCUAAAGCGUAACGGAGGAGCACGAAGGUUGGCUAAUCCUGGUCGGACAUCAGGAGGUUAGUGCAAUGGCAUAAGCCAGCUUGACUGCGAGCGUGACGGCGCGAGCAGGUGCGAAAGCAGGUCAUAGUGAUCCGGUGGUUCUGAAUGGAAGGGCCAUCGCUCAACGGAUAAAAGGUACUCCGGGGAUAACAGGCUGAUACCGCCCAAGAGUUCAUAUCGACGGCGGUGUUUGGCACCUCGAUGUCGGCUCAUCACAUCCUGGGGCUGAAGUAGGUCCCAAGGGUAUGGCUGUUCGCCAUUUAAAGUGGUACGCGAGCUGGGUUUAGAACGUCGUGAGACAGUUCGGUCCCUAUCUGCCGUGGGCGCUGGAAGAUUGAGGGGGGCUGCUCCUAGUACGAGAGGACCGGAGUGGACGCAUCACUGGUGUUCGGGUUGUCAUGCCAAUGGCACUGCCCGGUAGCUAAAUGCGGAAAAGAUAAGUGCUGAAAGCAUCUAAGCACGAAACUUGCCCCGAGAUGAGUCUUCCCUGAGACUUUGAGUCUCCUGAAGGAACGUUAAAGACGAUGACGUUGAUAGGCCGGGUGUGUAAGCGCAGCGAUGCGUUGAGCUAACCGGUACUAAUGAACCGUGAGGCUUAACCUU
rnacentral:rRNA from 1 species